GACAGGUGGUGCAUGGUUGUCGUCAGCUCGUGUCGUGAGAUGUUGGGUUAAGUCCCGCAACGAGCGCAACCCCCGUCCCCAGUAGCCAGCGCGCAGCGGCGGGCACUCUGGGGAGACUGCCGGGGACAACCCGGAGGAAGGCGGGGACGACGUCAAAUCAUCAUGCCCCUUAUGGCUUGGGCUACACACGUGCUACAAUGGCGCCGACAAAGGGAAGCGAAGCGGCGACGUGGAGCAAAUCCCAAAAACGGCGCCCCAGUUCGGAUUGUAGUCUGCAACCCGACUACAUGAAGCCGGAAUCGCUAGUAAUCGCGAAUCAGAAUGUCGCGGUGAAUACGUUCCCGGGUCUUGUACACACCGCCCGUCACACCAUGGGAGCCGGAAAUGCCCGAAGUCAGUGGCCCAGCCGGAAGGAGGGAGCUGCCGAAGGCAGGUCUGGUGACUGGGGUGAAGUCGUAACAAGGUAGCCGUAUCGGAAGGUGCGGCUGGAUCACCUC
rnacentral:rRNA from 1 species